rnacentral:rRNA from 1 species
CCUACGGGGGGCUGCAGUGGGGAAUUUUGGACGAUGGGGGCAACCCUGAUCCAGCCAUGCCGCGUGCGGGAAGAAGGCCUUCGGGUUGUAAACCGCUUUUGUCAGGGAAGAAAUCUUCCGAGCUAAUACCUUGGGAGGAUGACGGUACCUGAAGAAUAAGCACCGGCUAACUACGUGCCAGCAGCCGCGGUAAUACGUAGGGUGCAAGCGGUAAUCGGAAUUACUGGGCGUAAAGGGUGCGCAGGCGGUUGCAAUCCCCGGGCUUAUCCUGGGACCUGCACUUGUGACUGUACGGCUGGAGUACGGCAGAGGGGGAUGGAAUUCCGCGUGUAGCAGUGAAAUGCGUAGCUAUGCGGAGGAACACCGAUGGCGAAGGCAGUCCCCUGGGCCUGUACUGACGCUCAUGCACGAAAGCGUGGGGAGCAAACAGGAUUAGAUACCCCGGUAGUC